GACGAACGCUGGCGGCGUGCUUAACACAUGCAAGUCGAACGCUGAAGCCCUCUCGGGGGUGGAUGAGUGGCGAACGGGUGAGUAACACGUGGGUAAUCUGCCCUGUACUUCGGGAUAAGCCUUGGGAACGGGUCCUAAUACCGGCUAGGACCUGUCCGCGCAUGGGGGUGGGCGGUAAGUGCCGGCGGUAUGGGAGGAGCCCGCGGCCUAUCAGCUUGUUGGUGGGGUAGUGGCCUACCAAGGCGACGACGGGUAGCCGGCCUGGGAGGGUGACCGGUCACACUGGGACUGAUACACGGCCCAGACUCCUACGGGAGGCAGCAGUGGGGAAUCUUGCGCAAUGGGCGAAAGCCUGACGCAGCAACGCCGCGUGGGGGAUGACGGCCUUCGGGUUGUAAACCUCUUUCGACAUCGACGAAGGGGCCCUGUUGUGGGGUUUUGACGGUAGGUGUAGAAGAAGCACCGGCUAACUACGUGCCAGCCGCCGCAGUAA
rnacentral:rRNA from 1 species